rnacentral:tRNA from 1 species
CCUCGGCGUCGAGGACGGCGCUCGCCCGCGGUGUCGCCGCGGCCUGGGCAGCGAACAGUUCGGCGAUGGUCGCCGAGGAC